UGUGUAGGUGGCGCCGUAAGUGGGGUGUGAAAUUUCGGAGCUUAACUCCGAAACUGCAUUCCAUACUGCGGUGCUUGAGGACUGGAGAGGAGACUGGAAUUUACGGUGUAGCAGUGAAAUGCGUAGAUAUCGUAAGGAAGACCAGUGGCGAAGGCGGGUCUCUGGACAGUUCCUGACACUGAGACACGAAGGCCAGGGAGGCAAACG
rnacentral:rRNA from 1 species